CGAAUGGCAAUGACGGAAAAAAGUAUUUCAGUAUCAGUCUUUCAGAGAGCCUGUGGGUGGUGCAAACAGGUAGACUGAACCGAAAGAAUGGGAUCCCGAGCUUGAUAAGCGAACCUUUUGAGCUAAUUCAAAGUAUAUGGACUUUUUGAAUUAGCCCUAAAGAAGCUCGUCACGUCCCCCGCGUUAUGGGAAUCAGAGUGGCCUUCGGGCAAUUCGGGUGGUACCACGGUUGAUCAAACAUCAGUCGUCCCUUUU
rnacentral:ncRNA from 1 species